rnacentral:lncRNA from 1 species
CAAGGAUCUUUAUCUCUAAUUCCUCUACUGCAAAUUGCUCAACUGGUUGCUCUUCUACCUUUCCUUCUGUCCUUUUCUUCCUCCACAUCCUUUUCCGCUGCCAAUGAAUAGCAAAAAUCACAGCUAUAACAAUAAAGGUCGCUCCCAGCGCGCUGCCACCCGCAGCCGUUGCCAACACAGGCAUCCAUUCGGUGCCUCCACUAUGUGGUGUGAUCACCCAAGUUGCUGCUAGAAAACUGAUUCCCAUGCACAAAACUGCUACCCACAUGACCCUGUCAGCAAUCUUUAGCACUCUCACCAGCGGUUUUCUUCGAAAAGGGAUGAUCCUGAUGAGAGUAAUGACAACUGAAAGAGAGGUGAACAAUGCAAAAGUGUUGCUUAUUUCAAACACCUUGAAAGCUGUUGCUCUGGCUAGUAUUGAUUUCCCUUUCAUUGGUCCAUCCUGGUAGACACCACCAGGAGGAUUUAUCCCAGCAGCAAAACUUACUGUUGCAAUUAAAACAGCGACUACUAUGAUGGUGUUCCUCGAAUUUUGUAGUGCUUCUAUCUGCAUCUUUCUUAGGUGAUCACUAGUGUGUCUAGCUAGUUCCUUUUGCGUUGGUUUUUUGUUCUUUUCAGAUCUUGUCGUAUUAUAAUUUGUUUGAGCAGCAGCUCCACUUGGUUGUGAAUUGUGAGUCGUUGUGGCGCCGUUAGAAGAAGCAGGUGAUUUAAUAUCCUUGUGCUCCAUUCCAUUGUCAUUACUUUCUCUAACUAGUGAUGUCGAAGAGAUCACAAUGCUACGUUUACCACCGGCUUUAACUAACAAGUUUGCAAGACUCCAUUUUUCUUCAUCAGGGAAAGCUACCUCUUCGAGUAUGUCCAGUGCUGUGAGACCCGAGUAAUUUUGGGCAUUGAGAUCCAACAGUUUAACCUUGAUUAAGUACUCUGCAAUCUGAACAUCAUAACACAUCUUUGUCGAUAAAGAAAAAAGAAUAAAAAUAAAAAAAAUAAAGAAAAGACUAGAGAUUAGCGUAAAAGGAGAGAUGAAUUCGUACUUUAUAGCAGCCUGUGGAUAUAGCAAGAUGUAAGACUGUAUUAUCGUGUUGGUCUCGGACGAGGAGGAAGUGAGGUAUGGUUGUAAAAACAUCCCUCAUGACAAUGAAGGCAUCGAAGCUGCCGGAUUUAACAGCAAGGUGAACUACAGAAUCCCCCUGUUGUGUGAAUAAAUUGAAACAUUCGGGAGCUCUCGACUGAAAUUCACGGAUGAUGGGAGCACAACCAUUCAUUGCCGCCAAAUGCAAUGGUACAUACCCUUUGUUAUUAAGUACCAUACUACUUUGGGGGGCAUACUCUAAAAGGAUUUUUGUCAUCUCCAAGCUACUCUUUUCACAAGCGCAGUGAAGCGGUAAACACCCAUCCUGGUCACAUUUCCAAGCAAAACUUGGCCUCGCUUCCAAUAUUGCUCUCACAACUCCUGCACGGCCAACUCCAUUAAUUGACUUUAAUUUGGCUCAAAAAACACAUUUUUCAAACUCCAAAAGGGAAAAGAAAAAGAAAAUAAAAUAAGUUUCAAAACUUACUUCUGUCUGCUCUUGACACUGAUUGGUGCAAAGCAUUUGAAGGGUAUCUAGCUUCUUCAAUGUCCAUUAGCCAACUUUGGUUGAGCAGGAGAUUAACUACACCAAGAUGCCUUCGGCUACAAGCUAUGAAAACGCACUCUCGUUGUUGUAGUUAAGUUGAGUGGCUUCCAUUGGCUUGGUCUCUAACAGCAACGUCACAAUAUCAGCUUUUCCUACUCGACAGGCCUCAUGGAGAGGAGUAUCCCCUCGAAUAUUCUGAGCUGAAACCAAGUCAGGACACAGCUCUAAAAUUGCUCUAGCUAUUUCUGUUUUCCCUUUUAUUAUUGCCUAGUGCAGAGAUGUGUUAGAGGAAUCCGAUGAUCGUUGUUGAAGCACUCGUUUGUCUUCCUGAACUAAUAUUUCAAAGACAACUUUAUCAUUUUCCUGAAUGGCUUCUAAAAGCCUUGGAUCCAUUUCCUUUUUGUGCUAGGCUUAAGGCUGGAAAAGUAUGUUCAGGUUUCAGAAGUAUAUGUAGGCAACAAAGCAACAGACCUAGAUAUUCUGAGAAGGAAGAGAGCACUUUGUUAAUUUCUUUGUUAUCUUCAUGGAACCUUCAAGGCAUUCAGCUUCCGAGUUCCAGCCACCUUCAAGGAAAUUCAUUGAUGAUCAAUGGUUCUUUUGAAGUGAGACAAAGGCUUUUCCAAAGUCAAUUUUAGUACUCGUUCUCUUUCAGUUCACACUCAAAUAAUUAAUGCAUAAUACAUAAUUCGAUCUAUAAAUUUUUUAAAAAAAAUCAACAUUCUAUAAUUUUAACAUAUAAAUAUUCCGCUCGCGUGUCACAAUGUUUUUACCCAAUAACUUUCACUUUGAUUAAAGCUUCAUAAUGAGAAAAUGAAAACCAGCAGAAGGCUCGAAGCCAGUAAGACAAAGACAUUAAAGAAGGAAGCAGCUCGUAAAGGAGUAAAAAAUUUUUUAGGAUAAAUGUUAGAAAAAUUAAAAGGAGCUGUUGACCAUCACUGAAAUAAAAAUAAAAAGUUUUAGAAGUUUUGAUAACCAAGUUUGAUUUAGAAUAAAAAAUAGAUAUAUAAAAUUGAAACUAGAUAUUUAAAAAUAAAAAAUAAAUAUCUAAAAUCAGAUAUAAACGGCUCUUAGAAUAGAGUAUCACAAAUGUAAACCAGAAAUUAAGGUUAACAAAUAUAUUUCAGACUAUGAGAUUAUCUUGAUAAAAGAGAAAUAAGAUGGUGAGAAAAACAAAUAUCAAACUUCAUUAAAACAGAAAGAAAUAUAUAUAUAUAUUUUUUUAUUUCUAACAAUCAUUUACACGAAAUUCUCUCCAUUCUCUCUUUCUCUCUUUCUAACCGCAAUACACCCUUUUUACAGGUAAAUAUAAUCUUUACUCCGUCAACACAUGUCUAUAUAUGAGUACAUUACUUGUUUUACACACACAAAUUUUCUUUAAUUUCAUUCGAUAAAAGAUCUCAUAAGCGUAAAUUUGUUGCAGUAAAAUAUCUCUAUUCGCCAAUAAUUCUCAAGAAUUUUUCUUUCAAUUUUUGAUCCUUCUUAAUUGAAGCCAAAGAUUCGCCACUGUUAAAAAAAUAGUGAAGAGAGUAGAUAUGAUCUAAAUACUGAUUGCAGCGACGGAAUUCAGGAAAAACAUAACAAUCUCAACAGAUUUUCGCUACUUCUCCUCAAACAACAAAUUAUAAAAAGAAAUGACUAAAAGCCUUUAAUAAUAAAGUUGUAAAUUUCAGCCGUUUAUGGACGUGCAUAGGGUCCCUCCAACAAUUAUUUUUGCAAUUUAUGGAUAUGUAUCGAGUCCCUUCAAUAAAUUUUUUUCUGUAAUUCAUGGACAUGCAUUGAAUCCCUUCAACAAAGAUUUCUAUAGUUUAUAGAUAUGCUGGUCCCUUCAAGAAAUUUUUAGCCUUUUAUAGACAUAUUUAGGGGUGAGCAUUCGGUCGGUUCGGUUCAAAACCGAACCGAACCGAAUAAACCGAAAACCGAAAUUUUAGGUUUUAUGAAAACCGAACCGAACCGAUUUUGGUCAGAAACCGAAUCGAACCGAACCGGUCUGAUUCGGUUCGAUUCGGUUCGGUUUGAUCGGUUUCGAUUUUUAAUAUUUUUUUAAUUUUUUACACUUUAUUUUUAGUAUUUUAAAAUUUAAUUAAAAUAUUUUAAUUUUAAUAUAAUUUAAUUUCUCUAUAUUAUUGAAAAAACAUAUUAUUAUUCCUAAUCGGUUCGGUUCGGUUUUUUCGGUUUUUUUCUGAUCAAAACCGAACCGAACCGAAAUAACCGAAAUUUCUGAAAUUUAAAACCGAACCGAACCGAACCGAAAUUUAUAAAAAACCGAACCAAAUUUUCAAAUCGGUUCGGUUCGGUCGGUUUUUUCGAUUUGAACUGGAUUCUGCUCAGCCCUAGACAUAUUGAUCCCUUUAAUAAACUUUCGGUCUUUUAUGGACUUAUUGGUUCCUUCAAAAAAAUUUUAGCUUUUUUAUGGACAUGGUGGUUCUUUCAAAUAACUUUCAGUCUUUUAUAAACUUGUUAGUCUCUUCAAAAAAUUUUCAGCCUUCUAUAGACAUGUCAAUCCUUUGAAACAAGAUUUUUUUUUUUCAAAUAGUUUAGAAAUAUGUUAGUCUAAAACAUCAGUUUAAAGACAUGAUAGUCUAAAAUAUAAAUUUAAAAAUAUAAAGUCGCAGGUCUUAUAAAUUUUAAAUCUUUAUAGACUUGCAAGUCUUCUCAUAAAUUUUGGAUACUUCCAAACAAAAAGAUAAAGAAACCAAUCUUUUAAAUUUCUUAAAAUUUUAAAAGUAGAUAAAUAUAAAAUCUUUCAAAAGGUCUUGAAUUUUGAAAAUAUAUAAAAAAAUCCAACCUAGAAUAAAUCUUUCAAAGUGUUAGAAUAUUUACAAGUAUUUGAAUAUUUACAAGUAGAUGAAAAAACUAACUUUUUCUAACUUUUCAAAUUAGAAAGUAGAUGAAAAUAAAAGAAAUAAAAAACUUAAAAAAGGUCACAAAAGCAUUGAAACAAGCUCUCAAAAAUUAUUUGGCCUAUGAUAGCCCGUUGAAAAAUCAAAAGAAUCUCUAAUACAAUCACUAAAAUAAAAAUAGAAAGUUUAGAAAUUCGGAUAACAAGUUCGAUUAAGAAUAAAAAAUAAAUGUUUAAAACUAAAAUUAAAUUUGUAAAAACAGAAAAUAAAUAUAUAAAAACAGAUAAAAGUAGCUCACAAACCAAAGCAUCACGAAUACAAAUAAAAAAUUAAGAUUUUUGUAGAAUAUGCAACAUCAAAAUAAAGAUGAGAAUAAUUGAUUUAAACUUAGCAAAUAUAUGUUAGAAUAUAACAAAAGAAAAAAAAGAUAACAGAAGAAUAAAUAUCAAACUUCAUUGAAUUUUUGAGAAAUACUAAUUUUUUUCCUUUUUCAUUUCUAACAAUCAUUUACAAUAAAUUCUCUUUUUCUCUCUUAAUUUCCACAUGCAAUAACCCUUUUUACAGGCAAAGAAAAGUCUCACAGAGUCGACACAUGCCUAUCCCUAGAGAUAGGUCAAUAAAUAUUAAUUCUUAAUAAGGGCAACUUAACACCUUAUUACUACAGAUUCUAUGGAGGAGGCAAGAAAAAGGUGAACCGGAGGAAAUUUUCGAUCACUGGAGAUUCCUGGAAAUAGUCAUUGGGGGUCCAGGAAAAAGGGUCCCAUUUGCAAAUUGCAAAUGGCGACUUGCAGGAGAUUGCAUAUGAGGCCAACCAGUGGACUUUUAGGCUAUGUUUGGUUCAGUUCCAAUUUCUAAAAUUUUGUUGAAUUCAAUUGAAUUUCAUAUUUUGUGUGUUUAGUUUGAAUAAAGAUUAAAAUUCAAUUCUAAAAAUUCAAUUCCAUGAAAUUAGUUAUAACUAAAACCAAUUUCUAGUGGUUCAGGAGCAGUAGUGUCCGAUAGACUUGUUUCACUCCUAGUGGUUCUGCUUGCCACGUUAGUUGCUUUACUGUUGUCAUCUUAAACAAUUCUUUGUUGAUCAGUGUCAGGUUCCAGCUAGCUGUUGGAAUCCUUUGUCUAAACAAUGUCUUUUGAGUAAUUGUUUAGCUGUUGAACAAUACUGCUUUUGAUAUUCUCGGAUGAGUUUCUCUGUUUUGAAUGUUUUCGUAGCAUUUAAUUGCAGUUAUUAAUAUUGGUUUCUUGCUACUAAUAACUUCUAUUUUUCCGAAAUUUGUCUAAUUCUUUUGUUUCCAGCCUGUUUAUAGUACAGCAGUAAUUCCAUGUAUAUACAUGGCGUACAAGUUUUUCAUCGGAACUAUCAGUAUGUGUGAUAUCCUAAACCGUAAUUGGGUGCAAUGUCUGAACUUGCGCUUCCAAGGAUCUUUAUCUCUAAUUCCUCUACUGCAAAUUGCUCAACUGGUUGCUCUUCUACCUUUCCUUCUGUCCUUUUCUUCCUCCACAUCCUUUUCCGCUGCCAAUGAAUAGUAAAAAUCACAGCUAUAACAAUAAAGGUCGCUCCCAGCGCGCUGCCACCCGCAGCCGUUGCCAACACAGGCAUCCAUUCGGUGCCUCCACUAUGUGGUGUGAUCACCCAAGUUGCUGCUACAAAACUGAUUCCCAUGCACAAAACUGCCACCCACAUGACUCUGUCAGCAAUCUU